rnacentral:misc_RNA from 1 species
ACAGACAUGCUCACUGCAGUCUGACUUCUUUAAUGUUCUUUUGCAGUACAAAACUGUCAAAUUUUUCUCAUAAAUUAAAUGUAUCUUCUUCUUUUUUUCAUAUAAUCAUGCUUUGUAGAUUAUAGUCAACUUUUCUCAAAAACAGAUUUAUAUCACUUACUGCACAUUUUAAGCAGUAAUGUAUGAUUAUGAGUUUGAUUUAUAUUCAUUUGAAAAUAUACAAGAAAAUUUAGUCACACUAUUAAACUUUGGCUUCUCAACUCUUGAAUGAAAUGUUAUUAAAUUAGUCUUUGUCCUUCCAUUGCCAGUCUGCAUGUAUAUGUUAGUAUUACACAGAAAACAUUUCAUGAUAUGCAGUUAUAGACAACCUUAUUUGAUAUACUUGAAAUGUCUUCUACUUACAGUCAAUGGAACUGUUUUGUAUUGUCUCUAUAUUUUUAAUAUAUGACUAGUUCCUCAGUUUGUUCCUUAUCAUUAAGAUUUUUGUGUACACAUUUUGGUAGUUUAUGUGUCUUAUACCCCUUUUUGAAACAUUUUUAUAGAUAUCUACAAAAUGCCAUACUUAUAUCUCAUGUAUACAUGAUAAGCAGUAUUGUCUAUCUUGCAUGAUUAUAGGUUUUUUUUGCGUGUGUUUUUUUUUUGGUGUUCUUUGUUUGUAUAUGCAAAGUUUACUAAAAUACUCAGGAAUUAUAUUUUUACAUUCAAACUAAUAAAAAUCCUGCCAAUUAUCAUUAGAUAUGUUUAGAUAGUUUGACAAAUUUUUUAUGCAGUAUUAUUGUACUGUACUAUUGUAGUUGUAUAAAAUACCAUGCAGUGUUAUUAGUGCUAAAUAAAUCUAUAAACACUG